rnacentral:tRNA from 1 species
CGCUAGGGUGGCAGAGCCCGGUAAUUGCCAGGGACCUAAGACCCCUUAUUCGGAGGUUCAAAUCCUCCCCCUAGCU